UUUUCUGUAUGUUUGAUCACGUUUUGGACUCUGCCGUUUCCCUGAGUUGAACACUUCCUAGUUUAUACUCGUCACCAUGGCAACGUAAUUGUUUCACCUGCACUGGCGCCUGGCGCACACCGGUCGUUAAUUAUUGUGUUGUAUUUAAGACCGCCUGCUACCUCAGUUCCUCCUGGACGUUUUGCUAGCUUAAGGCAACUGUUAUGUUGUGUAUUCUUGUUUCCCUGUUGUUUGUUCCACGCUAGGUUUAGCUUAGCCUCCGCGCGCUCGGCUCGCGCUACUUCGAACUCUGCCUCUUUCUAUUAGUAGCAUUUAGCUUCCCGUGCUAAGGCACACCUUUGUUUUGCUCUUUUGUCAAGUGUUACUUUGGUUAUUUAUAUUAAAAUCGGCUCCUACCUUCAUUCCUGCCUGCUCCAAUCCUUUGGCAUCGAGAGGUGGCACUCCUCGCGCAUCCAAGAUGCGACCCAAGCGUAACAGAAAACGUCCAGCCUCGCGUUACCUCGCUGAGGACAUUCCGGAGUUUCGACCCCACCUUUUGUCAUAUCCGGCCAAGUACUCCACCGUUACAGCCCAGGACUCUCCAUUAAGGGUUCAUGUCUUUGGACGUGGGAAGAAGCCGGAGUACCCGGAGGGAACCCACGCAGUCACAAGGAGAACAUGCAAACUCCACACAGAAAGAUCCCGAGCCAGGGAUUGAACUCAGGACUACUCAGGACCUUCGUAAUACAAACCUGUCUAUAGGGACCACUCAAAGGAAACUACAAAAGUGGCCCCUCUAUGCAGGUUAGGAGCCAUUUUCAGCCAGGCUUUGUGGUGGUUGGAGCCAUGACAAACUCACACGAUGGGAAAAAUCCGGUUAAACACGAUGCAUGACACAUUAGUAAUGGCGAUGAUUCGUUGAGACGGCAAGAGUUGACAGCCACUUUUUACUGAUUAGUUGUAAAUUUUACAACAAAUGAGGGAAAGUGCUCGUUGGAAUGGGAUAAUAUGACGUGUAGUUAUACACCACCCACCCCGGAUGCGAACUUACGUAGUAGUAUGUUAACCAUUAGCAAGUUUAAUCAUUCAUCUCUGUUAUCUAAUAAAUUGUAAAACUGAAA